GACGAACGCUGGCGGCGUGCCUAAUACAUGCAAGUCGAACGAGAGCGACCGGUGCUUGCACUGGUCAAUCUAGUGGCGAACGGGUGAGUAACACGUGGGUAACCUGCCCAUCAGAGGGGGAUAACAUCCGGAAACGGAUGCUAAAACCGCAUAGGUCUUCGAGCCGCAUGGCUUGAAGAGGAAAAGAGGCGCAAGCUUCUGCUGAUGGAUGGACCCGCGGUGCAUUAGCUAGUUGGUGAGGUAACGGCUCACCAAGGCCGUGAUGCAUAGCCGACCUGAGAGGGUGAUCGGCCACAUUGGGACUGAGACACGGCCCAAACUCCUACGGGAGGCAGCAGUAGGGAAUCUUCCGCAAUGGACGCAAGUCUGACGGAGCAACGCCGCGUGAGUGAAGAAGGUUUUCGGAUCGUAAAACUCUGUUGUUAGAGAAGAACAAGUGCUAGAGUAACUGUUAGCGCCUUGACGGUAUCUAACCAGAAAACCACGGCUAACUACGU
rnacentral:rRNA from 1 species